ensembl:lncRNA
UGCAAGAAAACUUUAUUGGUAUCUACUCUGUACAGAACAUGUUAAUAACCAGCCAAAUCCUGAGUCUGCACAGGCAGGGGCAAGAUGUAUGAAUGGAAACAUUUUAAGCACGAGCCUUACUAGCAGAACAGUCCACAACCCUCCAGGGCCCUUUAUAUAAAAUAUAAAGAACAAUUUUUGCUGCUCAGACCUUUCAAAGUUCUCUUUAAGUUUGAAUGGUGACUACUCCAUGCCUUAUCAACACACCACAUUCUACCACUUUUCUUUGAGGCUAUUUCUCUCUUGUACAUAGUUGUCCUGUCAGCAUCAAUUGCUUAGUCCUUCUUUGAAGGGCCAAUCCAUGCCCACCGGGAUAUCUGCAGACUAAGGCAGCCUCCGAGUGUUGUGCUUUCUGCUUUUCCUACUUUCACUCAAACCAUGAGCUGAAAAAGUUCUAUCCUUCCCCCCUACAUUUUAUCACAACGACUGCUCUUCUCCUGAACUCUGUGUCCAGCUGGAUGAAACAUGGGGUUAUCAAAACACCUGCUAACCACCAAGGCCAUUGCUGUCUACAUUCAUUGGGACAUACCAUCCAUCUAUGGCUUCUUGACUUGUCCAAGGACUGGGGAGAUCAAUCAAUCCUUCUAUGAGCAUUGUUGGUUGGACUCUAUUGAUUUCCCCAAGUUUGGAGUGUUUUGCUGUCUUGUCCUUGCACAGCUGUCCCCAGACCAUCACUGCCAUCCCAUUUUUCUCAAGAGGAGAAAUAGGACUCAGCACAUGUAGUACGUUUUGCUUUCUUCAGUGAUGCCUGCAAAUGCUUGUUUAUUGCUGGCUGAUUAGGUGGAUUCUGCCAAUAUCAGCAUCAGCCCAGACAGGAGUGGCUCCUGGAUCUAGGGAUGGUUCCAUUGUUGUGUUUCUGUGUCUCUAAGCAUUGAGAAUUCUGUGCUGUUACCUUUGCCAUACUUUGGUCAUCGUGCUUAUUACUGAUCCUGACAGUGGGACAAGUUUUCCUAAUAAGUGGUGGGUCUUUUUCUAGAGCAUAGUGAUUAUGCUACUACAGUAUACACUCUUUUAUAUUUUAACAUACUAACACGAACACAUCAAACAACAUCAAAUACACCACUCCCAACCUGACUGAAGAGGUAGUUGUUCAGGCCCAAGGACACAAGACGAAGUGGGCUAUCAAUUUUGCUCAAGACAGAUAAAAGCCAGUACUCCUACAACAAGGAGUUCCAUAUAAAAACACGCUAUGCAAACUUAGGAGAGGCAUCUGAACUAAAGGAGGAGAAGUUGAUCCAAACUGUUAUUCCCUAGCAAGGAGCCAUUUCAGUGCACUAAACCUGAGUGUGAACUGAGUCAAACAAAGCAAGACAGAGAAUUAGUGUCUGCUCCUGGCACAGGGAACAGAGCUCGAAUGAUAGGGACUGUUUUACCUACAGGGAGUCUCAGAGCACCACAUACCCUAAUAGUUAUAUUCUCUUCUCUUCUGGGAAAUUAAAGAGGUUGCUCAAAAACUUGCAAAGGAAAAGGGAUAAAGUUAUGGACACUAUUGUGAGUUUUGUUCUUUAAUCAAGUGUAGUACUCCCGUCUUCUGGGGAUGUUUUUUGAGUUGUGAACAAUGCUGGACUUCUUUUUUCAGACACAGAGACUUUUAUUCU